UAAAAUGUUACCGUGCAAAAGUACGAUGAUUUUAAUAACACAUUUAACCAUAUAAUAGUAUUGUGACAAUAUUAUGUUUACCAAAUAUGUGCUAAGGCUUUUGUGUAGUACAUUGUCAUCAUCUUUUAGAGUUGUUUGUGUCUUUUUGUACAUUUUAGUCACAAAUGUUACCGACGGGGAUUAAACGGGAGAAAUUGUGCUUUAAUUUCCUAUCAGAUCCACCUUCUUCCCUGUCGCCCUGUCCCUCAGCGUCCGCGCGCUAUUGUUUUGGGGAUUCCCCGCUGAACGCGUCUGCUGUCCUGCGCUAAAGGAGCAGCGCGAACAAAGGGGCGUCCGCGGAGCGCUGAUUGGCUGCUGCGUUCUCCGAGGUCUGGAACAGCAGAUUGGGUAUUCCUCCUCCUCAAACGCCCCCCUCAAACUGCGAUUGUUCCCGAUGCGAGCGCAGAAGCUCGGUUUGAGUUGGAGUGAGUAAAGCCUUGGGUCGGUUCAUAUCGUCGCGGAUGGUGGGUUUGUUCAGUUUAGUGUCGUGUGGAGGCAUAAAAGCACAGAUAAGAACCCUUCAGAUUCUGAUCAUCGUGACAUCGGGCAUCUGGAGAGCAGAGAUCUGCGAGAGAGGGAGUCCUUCCAUGCAGUCGUGGCUAAGAUAAAAUGGAUGACAGGAAUGACGGUGUGCGGGUUGGAGAGAAUAAAUUCAUCAGCAAGUGAGUAUAAAUCUUACA
ensembl:lncRNA